GACAGCAAACCAAGGGGUUGUGCUGUCUCCUUGUCUCCCAGGGAUAAACCCACAUGACAGUUUACAAAAACAGCCUGGGAAGCUUAAAGAAGGUGAACUUACUGACACCAGUUAGAAAGUGACUGUGAUGAAACGAUGAAGAUGCUCCAGAGGAAGUGACACCAGCAAUAGGAAAAAAAAAACAAACCUCUCACUGAAGGAACUCUCGGAGAUAUUUCAUGACACAGAAGGCACAAAGGAUACAAUAUUGGCAACUAAUCGAAACUUAGAAAUGAUAUGACAGCUCACCAAGGCAUAGAAAAAGAUGCUUGCUCUAUCAUAAGUUAUAGAAUGAGAAGAAGUAUAUCAGAAAACUCAAAUAUAACUCCACAACUUUUUCAAGAGUUUCUUUUUGUUUUCCAAUGGUAACGGGAGAGAAAAUAAGCUGUCAUUAUCGGAAUGAUCAAACACAGAGAGAAAAGAGGCAGAGGUGAGAAGAUGGAGAAGAUGAAUACAUUUGCUUUCAGCAAACCAAUGGAAGUCCAUUUGCAUGAUCUGAAAAGGAAAAUGAGAAGCUAAUUUUUCUAUACAAGGCAGAAUUUAAGAAAUACAAUUCCUAAGGACUCCAGUGGAUACAGCUCUGGUUCCUGGACUUCGUGUUUUGGCUUGGUCUUUCUGCUUUUUCAAUUUUGUCACUGAUUCCAGAGAGGCUUUCAAAGGAAGUCGUGGAAUCUUCUGUGGCAAUAACAACCAUUCACAUUCACUCCCGGAGAUGUAGACUUUCUUGUGGCCUUACAGAUUGAUCACAGCCAUCAAAGGAGGAAUGAACACGUUUCCUGAGGCACUCUAUUUACAUACUCAGGGUUUUUCAUCAAUCAUGUAAAAGAGAGUUACAUUUUCAGGUCAAAGUGACUCAUCAAGCCAGAGGGGUGAGUCAUGGAAGACAUAUGACGCUUUCCAGUUUAACCUGCUGUGCGACUAUGAACACCUGUAACAGUCAUCUUGCCAUAAAUCUCUCCCUGACCUUUCUGUGACAAGAGAAACUGCUACCAAAUCCUGAAUCCUACCUGUAUAGUAAGAAAUGAUUUCAGUGUUUAUUGCAGAAAUCUUCUAUUUGGAGAAUUUAAAUUUAAAUCAAAUUCAGAGGCAAAUUCAUAUCUUACUUUAGAAGUAAAGCAAAUCAUUGGAAAAAGCACUGGGGGAGAGAGAUUGAGAUAGAGAAAGAGAGAGAUUCUCUUUCAAUCAGCAAUUCUGUGUCUAUUAGUUUUUCUUGAAAUAAGCAAGUCUUGAAAGAUGUAUGUACUGGGUGUUUAUUGCAGUAGAUUGAAUAUUACGAAAAUAUUGAAAAUUAUCCAAAAAUCUAAGGCUAUGAAACUUAAUUAUGGAAUAUUCAUACAAUGAAAUAUUAUGAAGUCUUGAAGAAUGAUAGGAAAUUGUGAUAUAUUGUUUUAAAAGUUGUAUCUUCAAUAAAUAGUGAAAAGAGGAAGAUAUCAGAAAAACCUACAGAUUAAAAGAGACUUAUGAAACUUUUUUUUUAAUGGGGGAGACAAGUUCUCACUCUGUUGCCCAGGCUGGAGUGCAUAGUGUGAUCAUGGCUUACUGCAGCCUCAACUUCCUGAUCUCAAGUGAUCCUCCUGCCUCAGCCUCCCAAGCAGCUGGGACUAUAGGUGCACACUACCAUGUCCAGCCAGGAAACAUAUUAACCAGUUGCAAUGUACUGCAUUGCCCUCAUAAGUCUAAGCAUGCACACAUACAGAAUAUUAAGGAAAUGUAAACACUGACCAAUUAUUGAAUUAUACUAUGGAAUUUUUAUAAUUAUUUUUAAGUGUGAUAAUGGUUUUUUUUUUAGUUCUAUAUUUUAGAGAAAAAAUACUAUGCUGAUUGGAGAAUGUAAAGAUAUAGAUGAAACAAGAUUGAGGAAGUUUGAAAGUUUACUAUACACUUCUCUCUACUUAUGUACAUGUUGAAAAUGAUCCAUUUGUUAAAAGGUUUUUUUAAGUUAUAAAACAGUGUGUAUACUGUGACCCUAUUUGUUAAUUAUUUUAAUAUCUUUUUUCUUAUUCUUCUAUAAAAGACAUGACAAUAUUUUGAGGUAAAAAUACUUUUUACUUAUUCAUGUAUUUAUUUUUUGAGAUAGGGUCUCACUCUGUCACCCAGGCCUGAAUGCAGUGGCAUGAUCUUGGCUCACUGCAGCUUCUGCCUCCCAGGUUCAAGCGAUUCUUCUGCCUCAGCCCCUGAGUAACUGGGAUUACAGGCAUGAGCCACCAUGCCUGGCUAAUUUUUGUAUUUUUAGUAGAGACAGAGUUUCACCAUGUUGCCCAGACUGGUCUUGAACUCCUGACCUCAAGUGAUCCGCCCGCUUCGGCCUCCCAAAGUUCUGGGAUUACAGACGUGAGCCACCACACCUGGCCCAAACAUACUUUUUAUAAUAAAUAAGUAAUUUGACAACUUGAACUGAUUUACUCUAGCCAUUAAUCUCUCAAAAUUUGCUGUUUUCCCAUUAUAUCUAAUAUACUACUGAGUUUACAGUUCAUAAACUAUUAAAAAUGACAGCGUGAGAUGGACUCACAUGUUGUCUCAAAUUAAGAUCUUCUAUUAUCAUAAGGCCCAUCCAUCAGUUGUGAGGUGACUUUUAUCCUGUGGCCAGGGAGCCUGAUAAUUCAUGCCUGGGGCAAGCAAGGAGAUCAGGACAACUCACGCGAAACCCCGGACUUUCCAGUUUUCAUACAAAGCUGGACUUUCAUAAACAAAACAAGGAAAGAAACUGAGCAUCUUAACAGGCGAAUUUAGGGGAAAAAACAAACAAACAAACAAACGUCUUUUUUAUAUAAAUGAUUUGAGUAAUUUAGAAAAAUUUUAAGGGCCAUUUUGCCUAAAUUAAUAAGAAAAUGUGAUUGCUCCAGGUACCAAUUUUGCUCUUUUAAGAUGGCCGGGUUUACCUCAGCUCUCAGAAAAAAAAACAAAUCAUCCCACCGUAACAUUUUCACACUCCUAAAAUAAGCUUUAAAUUUUAUUUAUUUAUUUAUUUAUUUAUUUAUUUUUGAGACAAGGUCUCUGUUUCACUCAAAUUGAGUGUAGUGGCAUGAUCGUGGCUCACUGCAGCCUCUAACUCCUGGGCUCAAAUGAUCCUCCCAACUCAGCCUCCCAACUAGCUAGGACUGCAGGCACGCAACACCACAUCUAGCUAUUUUUUUUAUUUUUUGUAGAGAUGGGGUCCCACUGUGUUGCCCAGGUUGGUCUCAAACUCCUAGAUGCAAGUGAUCCUCCUGCCUCAGCCUCCCAAAGGGCUGGAUUACAGGCCUGAGCCACCACACCCAGCCAAGUUUUGAGUGGGCCUUCCUGAAAGUGAAAGUGAAAGUGACUGUGUGCAUAUACAAUGGAAUUGGAAUAAAUUAAAUGUAAUGAACUUCUCACAUCAGCCUCUGUUGAUGGGUGGGCUGUGCUAUGUACUUGCUCUUGCUUAAAGACCCAACCACACAUCCUGUGUGCAGGAAAGACAGCAGUUUGGAAAUUGCAGGACUGUGAUUCUGCUCAUGCCCUCCAAGGCUCCAAACUGUUUGACUAGAAAAUUCUGCUUUGCUUCUGGUGUUGGUCUCCGCUUGCUAGGUCUCUCAACUGCAGGCCCUGAGCCCUAUCUCAGGUAACUAAGUUCUGCCCCACUCAACUUCUGAGUCCAAGUUCAUCAUCUGUCCAGAGUGAGUCUUUGCCACACCAGAGUAGGGUGGAGUGGGCCUUGCUACCCUGCCCUGUAGCCAGAUGGGUGCUAGGUCUGGAGGCUUCUCCCCUGACCCCUUGUCAUUCACAAUAGCACCUCGGGACUUCUGUUUUGGUUUUCUGAAUGUUCCCCUGGCCCAUACCCAGGGGGAAGCCCACAGUCUCAGCCCCCUAGAAGUGGCCCCUUUUCAUCCUGUAGUAACCACAGGCUGAGGUCUGAUUCCCUUCAUAAGGGACCACCUGAAACUACACUGCCCCCUCCUGGAUGCCAUUCCUCUUGCUAUGACAUCCAUGCAAGCAACUGGCCGCCCCCCUCCACAUGAGACACCCAAAAAUUUUCUUGGGAUGGGAUUGAACUCUAAUUUGCUAUACCUGUAAAACAUAAUUAGGACCGUAGGGUAUGCCUCAGUGGUAAUACAGAAGCAGGAGCCGACUGAUAAAUUUUCAGGAUUUUUGCAAGUUGGACUGUUAAACACCCCCAGUAUUAAAAUUUGAGUCAUAUAAACUUUUAAUUAAUCUAUACUAAAAAUAAAGGUCAUACUCAAAACUCAUCACUUCUUAUCUUACUACAUUUUACUACUGUCUAUGCUCUGAGUUAUUUACAUUGACUGUAGUGUUAUUUGUAUGACUGUAGUGUUAUUUGUAUGGUGGAAAUUACUCCACUUAUCAAAUCAUGGUUGAAUUGCAACCAUCGGUUGGCUAUGGAGACAAGAGUUCAGUAAAAAUCAAUGAAAGCAUUCUGUGAGAGUCAAUUGGCCAUAUGGGACUUAAAAUAAGGGUAUUGCAUAUUUUAUUAUUAUUUAUAAAUGGCAUGCUACUCAUCCUUUUUUGUAUCAAUAAAAUUUAUAAGUUGAUGUAUUUUAUUUUCCAAAGAGCCUAUUGUUAAGCAUUUCCCAGCACACCACUGUAUCCCAUCUACCGGACUGUGAGCCCAGUUCUAUGGUCUCAUCCACAACUUCGGUUCUGCUCACCUCCUGCACUGACUUUGAGACUGUUGGAGAACAGGAGGCUCAUACCCAACCCACUCUUAAUUUAUCUCAUCCAUGUGGCAGGACAUCCAUUAGCAUAACACACCUGGCUUCGGCUCCCCGCCACACUCCUCUAGGCAAACUGACUUACCCGGUUGGUGAAUUUGGAAGAAAAACUGUGUCAUAUAUAGCUUAGCUUUUUUCCUUUUCUUAGGAGCUACCCGCAGGAGGGGCAUCUUUCUCCAGAGGCAAAGCCUGCCUUGUUCUGGUGUUGCCUGAGGCUGAUGGGCAAGUUGGUCAAAUCCCAAAGUUUAGUUGAUAAGAACUGCACUUGCUUGAAGAUAGAAGCUAUGCUUUCCCAAGUAGCAUUGAUCAAUAAGGAGCUACCUGCAGGUAGCAGGUGUGAUCCAGAGAACAUGCCUUUCACUGUGAAAACCAGCACCUUCAAGGCCAGGCGCAGUGGCUUGCGCCUAUAAUCCCAGCAUAUUGGGAGGCCGAGGUGGGUGGAUCACCUGAGGUCAGGAGUUCAAGACCAACCUGACCAACAUGGUCUACUAAAAAUACAAAAAUUAGCCCGGCAUGGUGGCGGGCGCCUAUAAUCCCAGGUACUCGGGAGGCUGAGACAUGAGAAUAGCUUGAACCAGGGAGGCGGAGGUUGCAGUGAGACGAGAUCACACCAUUGCACUCCAGCCUGGGCAACAGAGCAAGACUCCAUCUCAAAAACAAACAAACAAACAAACAAAAACACCACACAAAACCAGCACCUUCCACAGUGUCUAGCAUACGUUAGUCACCAAAACAGGUUUGCUAAAUGAACAAAUGAAUGAAUGGCAUUUUAUGUGUCAGUAAAUAUGCUUCAAAAUCAUGAUGUAUGAUGAGUAAGCAACUCUAUCAAAUAAAUAUAACGUAAUUUGCUGUGAGCACAUAAUUUGCUGUGUUCUAGUAUUGAACAGUUGGACUAUUUCCAUAUUUUAAUUUUUACUAUUAUGUUUGAGGAUGAUAUAUAAAUCUU
rnacentral:lncRNA from 10 species